rnacentral:sRNA from 1 species
ACUAUUUUGCAGAAGCGUGGAAUUGGCAAAAGACUAAACUUCAAUUUGUAUAGCGUAAGCUUGUACCAAUAGACCUGUAUUAAUUUGUAUCAUCAUU